AUACGUAGGGUGCAAGCGUUAAUCGGAAUUACUGGGCGUAAAGCGUGCGCAGGCGGUUUUGGAAGACAGAGGUGAAAUCCCCGGGCUCAACCUGGGAACUGCCUUUGUGACUGCAAGGCUAGAGUACGGCAGAGGGGGAUGGAAUUCCGCGUGUAGCAGUGAAAUGCGUAGAUAUGCGGAGGAACACCGAUGGCGAGGGCAAUCCCCUGGGCCUGUACUGACGCUCAUGCACGAAAGCGUGGGGAGCAAACAGGAUUAGAUACCCUGGUAGUCCACGCCCUAAACGACGUCAACUGGUUGUUGGGUCUUCAUUGACUCAGUAACGAAGCUAACGCGUGAAGUGGACCGCCUGGGGAGUACGGCCGCAAGGUUGAAGCUCAAAUGAAUUGGCGGGG
rnacentral:rRNA from 1 species